rnacentral:tRNA from 1 species
GAUAAAGAAAGGAAUAAAACCAAUGUGUGCAGGACUACAGCCUGCCGCCUAGCAUUCGGCCACUUUACC